rnacentral:rRNA from 1 species
AGACGAACCGGACGAACGUUAUUCGGAAUUACUGGGCUUAAAGAGUGCGUAGGCGGCUUGGCAGGUUGGGUGUGAAAUCCCUCGGCUCAACCGAGGAACUGCGCUCAAAACCUUCAAGCUUGAGGGAGACAGGGGUGAGCGGAACUGAUGGUGGAGCGGUGAAAUGCGUUGAUAUCAUCAGGAACACCGGUGGCGAAGGCGGCUCACUGGGUCUCUUCUGACGCUGAGGCACGAAAGCUAGGGGAGCGAACGGGAUUAGAUACCCCGGUAGUCCUAGCUGUAAACGAUGAGCACUUGGUCGAGGGGACUUCCACAUCCUCUCGGCCGUAGCGAAAGUGUUAAGUGCUCCGUCUGGGGAGUAUGGUCGCAAGGCUGAA